rnacentral:rRNA from 1 species
AGAGUACGUGAAACCGUUCAGGGGUAAACCUGAGAAACCCGAAAGGUCGAAAGGGGAGAUUCAGCGUGUCUCGAUUGCGGCGCUGGAUAGUCGUGCGACGGAAGACGUACGCGUCAUCCGCACCUUCAGUCCUCCGAACCGUAGUCGAACGCGUGCACUUCUCCCCCUGUAGGACGUCGCGAUCCGUUGGGUGCCGGUCUAAGGCCCGCAGUGGAGCCCGUUCGGACGGUUCACCGUUCCGGACGAACCUGCGGUGUUUCCCGGUCGGCUCGCUCGACGGUAUACAGAUGGCGCGGGGCCGCUACACAUUAGUUAGCGUCCGACCGGCGGCAAGCGCGCUCGUCGUGACGGUGAUCGGACCUGGUGCCGGUCCUGUCCCCGAGUGGCUGUUCGCUGCCGUGUUCUCGGACAGACCUCGUCGAAACGCCGAUCUGCGACGCUAUAGCUUUGGGUACUUUCAGGACCCGUCUUG